UCCACCUUCGUCUAAAACAAGAGCGUCCUCUUGAACUUAAACACUGAUUCUUAGGACCCACUGAGGACAGAAGUCUCACUGUGAUGGGGACAUAAAGACAUGGGACCUGUGUGUGCUCUGCUGCUGCUGCUCCACAUCGCUCAAGCUCAGGCAACAGGUUCAACUGUUGCAGUUGCUGAGAGCUUCUGUGACGCCAGGGUGAACCUCACUCGUUGCUUUGGGGCUCUAGGAGGAACCAUAAAGAUCCAACUGAUGGACAAUGGUUCAACGACACCCAUAUGUACAUGGAAAAAGAAUACAGAACCUAUUUUUGAAUGGAAAAAUAAUAGAGUUAGAACAAAUAAGUUUCCAGAUAGACUUGUCUUUAAUAACAUCACUGGAAUAAUUCAAAUACAAAACUUAACAAAAAGUGACAGUGAUUCAUACAGUUUGGGGUUUUAUAAUAAGGAUGGACAUUUAACUAAAUUUAUUAUUCACCAACUAAUAACUGAAGUCCCAGUGUCCUCUCUGCUCCUAGACUUUAAGUGUGUGUCCAAAGGAGAGGUGAGGGUUUCCUGUGAUGCUCAGGGAGGGGGCAAUCCUGAGUACAGCUGGACUCUAAAUGGACAAAAUCUCACAGACUCUGAACUUGUCUCCAAAAACAAUGAAAACACCAUCGUUACCCUGAGACAAAACACAGAGGGACUGCUGCGCUGCUCCGUCAAAAACAACGUCAGUCACAAAUUUAAGGAGAGUCAUGUUACCAACUGUGGAUACAUAUUCAUAAACUGCACAUUAAAUGGGACACAGAUAUCAGAAUGGGUUUAUAAAGCCAAUAACACUCUGUGCACCGAACAAACUACAGUCGCUUCCAUCACUUCUUCUGUGGGUAAGACCCCAUCCACCAGUCUGAGUGCACCAGUCAGUCCCACAAGUACUACUAGUGGCUCUUUGUAUAGUUGUAAGUCAAUACUAACCCACACUAAUGUGAAUAAACUAUUUAGUUUUUGUUUUGUGUUCAGAUUUUGUUUUUGUUUUUUUCUGCUUCUUUUGUUUUACAACCACAGAUUAUUGGCCUAUUAUUAUCCGUUCAGUGGUGUUUGUUUUGAUAACUCUUGUAUUCAUCUGGGUCAUGAAGGCAACAAUAGAAGAGAUAAGGAGCCUUAGUUGAUGUCAAGUUUUUACAGCAGCCAAACCUUGUGGAGACUGGACACCAACACUUUCAGUCACAACAAAAGUCAAGCUUCAGAUUGUUUUUUACCUGUAUGCAUCAGUGGCUAAAUAUGAAAUGAAUGUAUCUUCAUUCAUUAUAAGACUUGACAGUUUGUAAACUUUGAAUUAUGCCUUAAUAUACAGUUAUAUCAAGUAUGUUAUUAAUGUUGCAGUGCUGAGAUAUUUACAGAAGUUGAUUAUUUUUCUACUUUUGGUCAACUUUUUGAAUACCCCACAAUGAAGAAUUGUUUGGUAUGUGUAUGUAUUCAUCUAUGUGUUUAUAAGUUUUGUCACAUAGUUUUCACACUGUUUAAAAAUAUUUGGUGUGGUUAUUGAGACAUGCACAGUCAAGUAACACCAUCAAGUUAUGGUUUUUCAUUGGAAACGGGAAGUUAAGUGACCACAACUUGUACAUGUACUUAUAAAAAAAAACAGUGAUGCGAUUUAUUUAUUUAUGGUGCUUUUUCUGAAGCUCCUUGUUCAGCUGCCCUGGGGCUGACUCACAAGAGAUGUGACUGUCCAUCUGCACCAAGAACUUCUCUGACCACCAACUUUGAGCCCAGUUGCCUCAAUGUCUUUGCUGUGGGGUUAUUAGACUACUAUACAUUGUCUUUUUAAUGGUGUGUGCAUUUUGUUUGUUCUGUUUCUAACUUAAUAUAUGGUAUUUUUAACCACGUUACCCACAAUAUUAUGGAUGUUUAUUAAGACAAGACAAAAAUAAUGGUGUACUGUAACAGUAUCUUAUUAAAACACGUGUGACUGAAGAUCUAAAUAAUUCUGUUUUAUCUCAAAAUGACUUUCUAAAAUAAUCCUGGGUUGUGUUGUAAUUGUGUGUUGUCAGUAGAGGGCGACAGAUAAAAGUUGAUUAAUUUAACAAAACUGAACUUUGAGUAUUGCAGAACUGAACAUUUAAACACCCGACAUUGGAAUGCACAAGAAUUAAGUUAAUAAUAGUCCUAUUACUUUCUGAAAUUAAAUACUGAAUAAAACACAGUGCAUUUGUUGUUAUUACAUUAUGAAUAUAAAAUGUUUGAGUGAUGACAAAUGAACUUAUAAAUGAUAGUGAACAUCACAGUUAGUUAUAGUUCAAUAAAACUAACCACUGACAUCCAUCCAAAUUUAGUUUAACUUUAAAAUGUGCCUGUUUUAGCCUCUAGAAGAUAGAGCUGAUAGUGGUUCGUGAGAAAAGUGAAGUGAAAAGCAAAAACACUUCCUCUCCUCCUUCGUCUAAAACAAUAGCGUCCUCUUGAACUUAAACACUGAUUCUUAGGACCCACUGAGGACAGAAGUCUCACUGUGAUGGGGACAUAAAGACAUGGGACCUGUGUGUGCUCUGCUGCUGCUGCUCCACAUCGCUCAAGCUCAGGCAACAGGUUCAACUGUUGCAGUUGCUGAGAGCUUCUGUGACGCCAGGGUGAACCUCACUCGUUGCUUUGGGGCUCUAGGAGGAACCAUAAAGAUCCAACUGAUGGACAAUGGUUCAACGACACCCAGAUGUAUAUGGAAAAAGAAUACAGAAAAUAUUUUUGAAUGGAAAAAUAAUGCAGUUAGAACAAAUAAGUUUCCAGAUAGACUUGUCUUUAAUAACAUCACUGGAAUAAUUCAAAUACAAAACUUAACAAAAAGCGACAGUGAUUCAUACAGUUUGGAGUUUUAUAAUAAGGAUGGACAUUUAACUAAAAUGAUUAUUCACCAACUAAUAACUGAAGUCCCAGUGUCCUCUCUGCUCCUAGACUUUAAGUGUGUGUCCAAAGGAGAGGUGAGGGUUUCCUGUGAUGCUCAGGGAGGGGGCAAUCCUGAGUACAGCUGGACUCUAAAUGGACAAAAUCUCACAGACUCUGAACUUGUCUCCAAAAACAAUGAAACCGUUGUUACCCUGAGACAAAACACAGAGGGACUGCUGCGCUGCUCCGUCAAAAACAACGUCAGUCACAAAUUUAAGGAGAGUCAUGUUACCAACUGUGGAUACAUAUUCAUAAACUGCACAUUAAAUGGGACACAGAUAUCAGAAUGGGUUUAUAAAGCCAAUAACACUCUGUGCACCGAACAAACUACAGUCGCUUCCAUCACUUCUUCCGUGGGUAAGACCCCAUCCACCAGUCUGAGUGCACCAGUCAGUCCCCCAAGUACUACUAGUGGCUCUUUGUACAGUCAUUUUGAGCCCACUACUUAUUUGCCCAUUAUUGCUGGUUCACUGGUGGUUGUAUUGAUUAUUGGCAUGGUAAUAGUUUGUGUCCUGAAGAAGCGCAAGAAAAAAAGAGACGAGGAACUCGAUCAGGAACUGACCUAUGCAGACGUGAGGGUUUUGAGGCAGCCGGACAGAAGACCACAGCGUGCGUCUGAAGGGGAAGUUGAAUAUGGCCAAGUGAAAUUUUCAAACCACGGGCCAGUUGUUUCUGUAGAGGAGGAUAAUGCUUGUAUUUAUGCCAAGGUCCGUAGGUGAUCCUCCGGUUGUACAACAGACACUAACAAUUUACCGACUUCUUUAGAAAUUAUGGAUUUGUGGAUUUAUCAGCUGAAAAUUAUGUAUUUUUUUUUAAACUUGACUAUAAUUUAUUGUGAGUCCAGCCUGUCCAGGUAUCCGAUUUUUGCCAUUGAUCUGUAUCUUGGCAGAGGUUGGCAUUCUUUUAUAUUAUCUUUACACUGUAAAAAAAAAAAAAAAAAAAAAAAAAAAAAAAAAAUGUUAAAAUGACUUGAAUUAAGAAAGUUUGAUAUUGAUUUGAAUAAAUUUCAGUUGGUAAGCAAAAAAUAUUUACCAAUAGAACAAGGCUUUUUGUUAUGCAUAAAAUACAAAAAACAACACAUCUUUCCAGUUAAAAUAAGAAACAAAACCUUAUGUAGCUUGAAUCAAUAAAAAUACCAAUGGUAACCCUAUUCCAAUAGUAAAUAAUUUCACUUAUCAAAUUGAAUCUACUCAAAUCAAGUAAAGUUUUCUUUAUUUAAUUCAUUUUUUACUUGUCUAGAUAUGACUUUUUGCAGUGUAUUUUUUCUUUCUUUAUAGUUUCUUUUCUGUUUUGUACAGUAUAUAGUAUACCUUAUGUUGUUAGGUGAUUUCACAUAUUAAUACUUAACUACGAAAUUUGAAAUAUAUACGCAUACUCUUAUGCAAGUGGUUUUAAGAAGGGUAUUUACUUGGAAAUGGAAACAGUUUUAAAUAAACUUGUGAAACACAAAUCA